rnacentral:rRNA from 1 species
AUACGGAGGAUGCAAGCGUUAUCCGGAUUUAUUGGGUUUAAAGGGUGCGUAGGCGGAGGAGUAAGUCAGGGGUGAAAUGCCGCAGCUCAACUGCGGAACUGCCUUUGAUACUGCUUUUCUGGAGUUCGGAUGCCGUGGGAGGAAUGGGCAGUGUAGCGGUGAAAUGCAUAGAUAUGACGAAGAACACCGAUUGCGUAGGCAGCUGACCAGACCGCAAAUGACGCUCAUGCACGAAAGUGCGGGGAUCGAACAGGAUUAGAUACCCUGGUAGUCCGCACAGUAAACGAUGAAUACUUGUUUUCGGCGAUAUAAUGUCGGAGGCAAAGCGAAAGCGAUAAGUAUUCCGCCUGGGGAGUACGCCGGCAACGGUGAAACUCAAAGGAAUUGACGGGG